UAUGAUGUUAACGUGGGUUAAUAUUAUUUCAUAGGCAUAGGCCGAUGAAUGAAAUAAGUCCAACAACCAAGUCCAUGAGCUACACCCGGCCCAAUUGUAUUCCUUAUGGAUGGCUUGAAUCUUGACCCGUUUACCCCUUUAAUGGCCCAACUUAAAGCCUAACCCUAGAGUAUAUAUAUGAAUAUAACCCUAGCCUCUUUGAUAUGAUGAUUGUGUGAUUUUGAGAGAAGAAACUAGUGAAUCCCGACUGCCCCCCUUUUGUGUGAGAAAAAGGUGUCCAGAAGUGUCCAGAACGCUUGUAUAACGUGUGCAAUUGGUGGUUCUUUCAUAG
rnacentral:lncRNA from 1 species